rnacentral:lncRNA from 1 species
AACACUUUAAUCACCAACUUAUUCAUCUCCUUCAAGCAUUUUAUCAAACACCUUCUACGCAAUGUCAUCAUCCCCUCCCACAUCAUGAUUUCACAUAACCAAGCUUCCUAAACAAAUCAACAACAAUUUACACAUCACAAGCUACUUUAAUAACAACAUAAUCAAACACAAACAGGCAAAUCACCAUCACAUCACACAAAAAUCAACUCAAAAACAUCAUUACAUCAAAUCAUGCUCAAAUUUGAAACUUGCACAUUCAUGGCCGGCAACACAUGGUCGGCCUCAAAUUCUUUCAUUUAUCUACUAAUUACAUUAUUUCAAACACAAAAUUCUUAAUUUUACAUAACUUAGGGAGAAAUCAAUAACGCAACAAACACGUGAAGUUAAGGAGAGUAAACAUUCCAACACUUCCAUAUAACUCUAAUUUAAAGGAAUUUUGGUGUGGGAAUCAAAGAAUCCAAGAACCCACCUUUCCUUCUAUCCAAAUUAUAAUUUUCCAAACCAUAGCCAGAGCACUACAACCUCUCACUCUCCUCCCCUUUUCCACAAGCUUUGAUUGUGUUUUUUAUAUCGAUCCUCACUCUCAUUCACCCUUAGAAACCAAUUUGGAGGGUAAAAAGAAGAAUGAGAAAGCUCUGCUCUCACCCUCUCUUUUGCUCCUAGGCCACUGUCCUUAAUUGGCUUUAUAGCUGAUACUUAAAUGUUUUCCAUUAAACCAUCAAUCGUUAGUAUUUUCUUCGUGUUACAUAUUUAUUCACGUACUCAGGGUUUAUACUACUAAAAAUGGGGUUGACAAUAAAUUUUACCAAUUUGCUCCUAAUUCUUGUCACUCAUGCUUAUUUUCAUCAAGUCUUCGGCCAUAAUUAUUUUUCGUAUAUAGUUUUAUUAUUAUUAUUUCUGGUCGGGAUUUUCCACUAAUUAACUAUGAUCUUACAUUAUUAAAUCUUGGGGUGCACUUGUAGCUGGUAGGAGAAUCCUAAAAGCAACGGUUUCCAACUGAAAUCUCUUUACAUCAUGUAUGUUGGCAUUGUGGAAAGUAACUUUCUUGUGGUGAGCUGAAUGGUUUCACAUCCCAAUUACACAACUGUUCAUGAUAAAUGUUCUCUCUUUGUAAGCUGUGGUGGCCUAGGUAGCUGACAGUGAUGGA